UACGUAGGGUGCGAGCGUUAAUCGGAAUUACUGGGCGUAAAGCGUGCGCAGGCGGUUCGUUGUGUCGGCGGUGAAAGCCCCGGGCUUAACCUGGGAAUGGCCGUCGAAACUGGCGAACUGGAGUGUGGCAGAGGGGGGUGGAAUUCCGCGUGUAGCAGUGAAAUGCGUAGAUAUGCGGAGGAACACCGAUGGCGAAGGCAAUCCCCUGGGCCUGUACUGACGCUCAUGCACGAAAGCGUGGGGAGCAAACAGG
rnacentral:rRNA from 1 species